rnacentral:misc_RNA from 1 species
GAUGAAGAACGUAGCGAAGUGCGAUAAGUAAUGUGAAUUGCAGAAUUCCGUGAAUCAUCGAAUUUUUGAACGCAAAUUGCACUCUCUGGUAUUCCGGAGAGUAUGCCUGUUUGAGGGUCAGUAAAAUAAAAAUCGAUGUCGUUGUCACCAUGAUAACGCGUCGGAAUUGAGUCGUCUUACCUUCGGUUAAGUGACUUAAAAUUUUUACGCGAAUUCGAAACGUAUUUAAUGUUUAUGUACGUUUGCGAUAUUCCAAUUUAUUAGGUGCGGUCAUUCCUAUGAUUCGCGUCUAUAAUUUUUCAUUUCUUGACCUCAAAUCAGGUAAGAGUACCCGCUGAACUUAAGCAUAUCAAUAAGCGGAGGA